rnacentral:rRNA from 1 species
ACGGUAGCAGGAAGUGCUUGCACUUUGCUGACGAGUGGCGGACGGGUGAGUAAUGCUUAGGGAUCUGCCUUUUGGUGGGGGACAACAGUUGGAAACGACUGCUAAUACCGCAUGAUACCGCAAGGUCAAAGGGGGCUUCGGCUCUCGCCAAGAGAUGAACCUAAGUGAGAUUAGCUAGUUGGUAGGGUAAUGGCCUACCAAGGCGACGAUCUCUAGCUGGUCUGAGAGGAUGACCAGCCACACUGGGACUGAGACACGGCCCAGACUCCUACGGGAGGCAGCAGUGGGGAAUAUUGGACAAUGGGGGCAACCCUGAUCCAGCCAUGCCGCGUGUGUGAAGAAGGCCUUCGGGUUGUAAAGCACUUUCAGACGUGAGGAAAGGUUAGUAGUUAAUACCUGCUAGCUGUGACGUUAGCGUCAGAAGAAGCACCGGCUAACUCCGUGCCAGCAGCCGCGGUAAUACGGAGGGUGCGAGCGUUAAUCGGAAUUACUGGGCGUAAAGCGCACGCAGGCGGUUUGAUAAGCGAGAUGUGAAAGCCCCGGGCUCAACCUGGGAACUGCAUUUCGAACUGUCAGACUAGAGUCUUGGAGAGGGGAGUGGAAUUCCAGGUGUAGCGGUGAAAUGCGUAGAGAUCUGGAGGAACAUCA